rnacentral:ncRNA from 1 species
UUAUAUGUUAAGAAAAGAAAUAGUAUCAUGAGGAAAACUUUCAGAGAAUAGUCUUCUAGGCUGAAAAAGACUUUAGUUAUAACUUAUGAGAAUGCAUCUUUGAGCACUGUCCCGAAAAAAUAUGUUUUUAGUAGGAGGCAGCGUGUACGCACGUUAUAGCGUUGAGGUAUGUUUGUACCAAAAUAAGAUAUUAUAUUUUUUUAUAUAAUAAUUAGAGUGGAACCGCGGAAUAAAAAUUCUGCCUCUAAA